rnacentral:tRNA from 1 species
GUUCAGUUGGUAAAGCACAAGGCUCUUAACCUUGUGGACGUGGAUUCAAGUCCCAU